UGUGCCUACGGGGGGCAGCAGUGGGGGAUAUUGCACAAUGGGGGGAACCCUGAUGCAGCGACGCCGCGUGGGUGAAGGAGCGUUUCGGCGCGUAAAGCCCUAUCGGCAGGGAAGAAGAUGACGGUACCUGACCAAGAGGCCCCGGCUAACUACGGGCCAGCAGCCGCGGUAAUACGUAGGGGGCAAGCGGUAUCCGGAUUUACUGGGGGUAAAGGGGGGGCAGACGGCAAUGCAAGCCAGGA
rnacentral:rRNA from 1 species